rnacentral:misc_RNA from 1 species
GAAAUGCGAUAAGUAAUGUGAAUUGCAGAAUUCAGUGAAUCAUCGAAUCUUUGAACGCACCUUGCGCUCCUUGGUAUUCCUUGGAGCAUGCCUUUUAGAGUAUCAUGAAAUCUUCACAGUAAAUCUUUUGUUAACUCAAUUGGUUUCUACUUUGGUAUUGGAGGUCUUUGCAGCUUCACACCUGCUCCUCUUUGUUCAUUAGCUGGAUCUCAGUGUUAUGCUUGGUUCCACUCGGCGUGAUAAGUUAUCUAUCGCUGAGGACACUGUAAAAGGUGGCCAAGGUAAAUGCAGAUGAACCGCUUCUAAUAGUCCAUUGACUUGGACAAUACUUUUAUGAUCUGAUCUCAAAUCAGGUAGGACUACCCGCUGAACUUAAGC